GGAUCCAGACUUUGAUUCUGGCUCAGGAUGAACGCUAGCUACAGGCUUAACACAUGCAAGUCGAGGGGAAACGACAUCGAAAGCUUGCUUUUGAUGGGCGUCGACCGGCGCACGGGUGAGUAACGCGUAUCCAACCUGCCCAUCACUUGGGAAUAACCUUGCGAGAGUAAGACUAAUACCCAAUGAUAUCCCACGAAGGCAUCCGAAUGGGAUUAAAGAUUUAUCGGUGAUGGAUGGGGAUGCGUCUGAUUAGCUUGUUGGCGGGGUAACGGCCCACCAAGGCAACGAUCAGUAGGGGUUCUGAGAGGAAGGUCCCCCACAUUGGAACUGAGACACGGUCCAAACUCCUACGGGAGGCAGCAGUGAGGAAUAUUGGUCAAUGGGCGAGAGCCUGAACCAGCCAAGUAGCGUGCAGGAUGACGGCCCUAUGGGUUGUAAACUGCUUUUAUAAGGGAAUAAAGUGGGUCACGUGUGACUUUUUGCAUGUACCUUAUGAAUAAGGACCGGCUAAUUCCGUGCCAGCAGCCGCGGUAAUACGGAAGGUCCGGGCGUUAUCCGGAUUUAUUGGGUUUAAAGGGAGCGUAGGCCGGAGAUUAAGCGUGUUGUGAAAUGUAGAGGCUCAACCCCUGCGCUGCAGCGCGAACUGGUCUUCUUGAGUACGCACAACGUGGGCGGAAUUCGUGGUGUAGCGGUGAAAUGCUUAGAUAUCACGAAGAACUCCGAUUGCGAAGGCAGCUCACGGGAGCGCAACUGACGCUGAAGCUCGAAAGUGCGGGUAUCGAACAGGAUUAGAUACCCUGGUAGUCCGCACGGUAAACGAUGGAUGCCCGCUGUUGGCCUGAAUAGGUCAGCGGCCAAGCGAAAGCAUUAAGCAUCCCACCUGGGGAGUACGCCGGCAACGGUGCAACUCAAAUGAAUUGACGG
rnacentral:rRNA from 1 species